CCCCUUCACAAUGACGGCCGCCGCGCUAUAUUCGUCCGUGCCGGCUUUGCCGCCGGCUAUGGCGAUAAAGUGUGGUGUGCAAUAGACACAGCGGACCCGGGGGCAGUACCCGGCGGCUCCACCACCUGCGCCGCUCCGGCCGGACGUCGAGGACGUGCCGGCCGCGCGGUUCAGCUGACGGGGCCGAACCAGGAUCGACGUGUGUUGAAAGACAUCGCUUUCGCCCGGGCUGAGUAACCCGUCAAAGGCUCGACACACACAAGUGCCAACGACAACGAAGCACUUGCUCUCGCCGCGUAACGUGACGGCCUUCGCGGCCUGAAGUUGCAACGCUACGAGCACGGUUCGGACCGAACCGGGUAACAGAAUCGGAAACC
rnacentral:tmRNA from 1 species